rnacentral:misc_RNA from 1 species
UCAAAGUUUAAGAUAAUUAAUAGGACUCCUUAAGGUUUAAACCAUGGUUUUAAAUCAUGGUCGCAAUCGCAGAUAACUGAAUAGGCCUGUAACAACCGUAACGUGAUGAUAACAGUAGUAGUCUAGAGCUAUGCGAAUUUUUUUGAAAAUUUUGCAAACUGAAAAGUCCAUGAAAUGAUUAGAUAUUGAUAGAUAAAAGUCAAACUAAAAUACACAACUAUAUAACAAGCACAAAUAUAUCAUAAAGAAAUUAAAUCUAUCAUUUUUAGAUAUCAUUAGCAUUAAUCAAUUUAUAGUUAAAAUAAUUAUCUGAUAGAAAAAGCGAAAAAACAGCAAAUAAUGAAAAGAAAUAAGUAGCAACAGUAAAUAAUACUGACCUUUUGCAAGAAGUAGCUGUGAACAAUGGAGAUAUUUAAUGAUGAUCUUAGCAUAGCAAACGAUAAGCGAGAGACUUUGUAGAAGGAGAAAUUUGGGUGAAAUUUUGAGAGAAUAUGAAAGAAACAACAGAUACGGAAGGUAAUGCAGCUAGACAGUGAAAAGAAAGGAAAAGAAAAAAAAAAACACUGAUUGCAUGUGAUAUUUGGUAGAUGCAUAAUUAAGAUAACGGCCAUUACAAUUACUUAACGGUAAAUAAUAGCCGUU